UGCGUAGGCGGCUUAGCAAGUCAGGGGUGAAAGGCAUUGGCUCAACCAAUGUAAGCCUUUGAAACUGUUAGGCUUGAGUGCAGGAGAGGAAAGUGGAAUUCCUAGUGUAGCGGUGAAAUGCGUAGAUAUUAGGAGGAACGCCAGUGGCGAAGGCGACUUUCUGGACUGUAACUGACGCUGAGGCACGAAAGCGUGGGGAGCGAACA
rnacentral:rRNA from 1 species